GGAGUUAGCCGGUGCUUCUUCUGUGAGUGAUGUCCUUCCUGCCGGCUAUUAACCCGCAGGCCUUCUUCCUCACUGAAAGUGCUUUACAACCCGAAGGCCUUCUUCACACACGCGGCAUGGCUGGAUCAGGGUUGCCCCCAUUGUCCAAUAUUCCCCACUGCUGCCUCCCGUAGGAGUCUGGGCCGUGUCUCAGUCCCAGUGUGGCUGAUCAUCCUCUCAGACCAGCUACGGAUCGUCGCCUUGGUGAGCCGUUACCUCACCAACCAGCUAAUCCGACAUAGGCUCAUCCGAUAGCGCGAGGCCCGAAGGUCCCCCGCUUUCCCCCGUAGGGCGUAUGCGGUAUUAGCCUGGGUUUCCCCAGGUUAUCCCCCACUACCGGGCAGAUUCCUAUGCAUUACUCACCCGUCCGCCGCUCGCCACCAGGGAGCAAGCUCCCCGUGCUGCCGCUCGACUUGCAUGUGUUAGGCCUGCCGCCAGCGUUCAAUCUGAGCCAUGAUUAAACUCUGA
rnacentral:rRNA from 1 species